rnacentral:rRNA from 1 species
UACGAAGGGGGGCAAGCGUUUGUUCGGAAUUAUUGGGCGUAAAGGGUGCGUAGGCGGUUUGGUAAGUCUGAUGUGAAAUCUAUGGGCUCAACUCAUAGUCUGCAUCGGAAACUGCCGGGCUUGAGUGUGGGAGAGGUGAGUGGAAUUCCUGGUGUAGCGGUGAAAUGCGUAGAUAUCAGGAGGAACACCUGUGGCGAAAGCGGCUCACUGGACCAUAACUGACGCUGAUGCACGAAGGUCAGGGGAGCAAACGGG